rnacentral:rRNA from 1 species
GACGAACGCUGGCGGCGUGCCUAAUACAUGCAAGUGGAACGCACUGAUGAAGCCGUAGCUUGCUACAAUUUCAUCAGUGAGUCGCGAACGGGUGAGUAACGCGUAGGUAACCUGCCUGGUAGCGGGGGAUAACUAUUGGAAACGAUAGCUAAUACCGCAUAAGACAUUUUACUGCAUGGUAAGAUGUUAAAAGAUGCAACUGCAUCACUACCAGAUGGACCUGCGUUGUAUUAGCUAGUUGGUGAGGUAAUGGCUCACCAAGGCCACGAUACAUAGCCGACCUGAGAGGGUGAUCGGCCACACUGGGACUGAGACACGGCCCAGACUCCUACGGGAGGCAGCAGUAGGGAAUCUUCGGCAAUGGGGGGAACCCUGACCGAGCAACGCCGCGUGAGUGAAGAAGGUUUUCGGAUCGUAAAGCUCUGUUUGUAAAGAGAAAGAAACGCGUGUGAGAGUGGAAAU